UACAGAGGGUGCGAGCGUUAAUCGGAAUUACUGGGCGUAAAGCGCGCGUAGGCGGCUUUGCAAGUCGGGUGUGAAAUCCCCAGGCUCAACCCUGGGAACUGCAUUCGAGACUGCAUUGCUAGAGUAUGGGAGAGGGAAGUGGAAUUUCCGGUGUAGCGGUGAAAUGCGUAGAUAUCGGAAGGAACAUCAGUGGCGAAAGCGACUUCCUGGACCAAUACUGACGCUCAUGUGCGAAAGCGUGGGGAGCAAACAGG
rnacentral:rRNA from 1 species